UUAAGUGUAACAGAAGUUUUCUAUUUUCUUGUUCAAAAUACAUCUGACACUUGAAAACAUUUAUUCAUCAUGUUUCAUAUGUAUACAUUGCAGGUGUGCCAGGUGGGUCCAGAAUCUAAGGAAUGCAUCCCUUCAUGGCAUACCUUUGGAUCAGCUGCAUCGGACCUACAGGGUGUGCAGUGCCCAUUUCCACAGCAGCCAGUUCAAAAGACCAUCUGAUGUCCAUGGUGGGCUGAACUGGGAUGCUGUGCCCACAAGAAUACAGGCCCCUAACCCACCUCCCCCACUAGAUGUCGAGAGGAAGCGUAAACCUCCGAAGACACGCCAGGAGUUGCCACGUAAAAAACGCAAGCAGAGUCAAGUUCCUGCUCCCUCCAAAGACCAGCACACCGGGAAGCUGUAGCGGGGCCUUCAUCACGGGCUCACUACCCUGAGGAAGCUGUAGCGGGGCCUUCAUCAAUCAGUUAUUGUUCAUUUUUAGAAAUCUAUACAAAACUUGAACUGGCUAGGAGCUGACUAAUGCUUCCAUUCUAUGUCAGUGCCUCUUCUCUCACAAAAAGAAAAAAAUACAACAAAACUUAAAUGCUCACACAAUAGAUGGUGGUGUCUGAUUAAUUACUGAGAUCUUAUGGCUCCAUUUUAGUACUGUUUAUAGUUCAUGUGUGCACUUGCUAGAUGCACAUUUUUUUUGUACCUUUCCGCCUGUAAUAGGACAUUCA